rnacentral:tRNA from 1 species
CAUUAAGAAGCUAUAGUAGCAUUAACCUUUUAAGUUAAAGAAGGGGACUUCCACUCCCCCUUAAUGA